rnacentral:misc_RNA from 1 species
UUCUUUGCAUGUAUUAUUAUAUGUAUACAUCUUUUAUUUAGGAAGUUGGGGUUUCAAGAAUGGAGAUGGAACUUAUGGAACUGGAAUAUAAUACCGCCAACUCCUAUCUCGAAGAUACAACACCAACUCAGCAAUAUGUAGGCAUGAAAAAUGAACGGAUGGAUUCGGGUAGAAGAUGUAUUGGAGCCAAAUAUGAAGAGAAAAUGCAGCAAAGGACCGAAAUUCAGUCAACCAAAGUCACAUAUGACUGUUAUCUUUUUGUAACCACUUGCGUUCAGAUUCAUUGUAACUAUUGUAUGCAUUUGAGAUUUCGAAAUUUGAAUAUUUUUUAUCAACUGAGAAUG